GAAUAUUGGUCAAUAGCCUAACGGCUGAACCAGCAACUUGGAGGAAUGUAUAGCAACAGCUAUUUGUGUGGUAAUACUAUGCAAAAUCAACUAUGUUGAAUAAAGUUCUGGUUAGAUUAUGAUUAUGACAUUUUCUAACUAUGUGUCUUGACCAAAUUACGUGCCAGCAGUCGCGGUAAUACGUAGAAGACUAGUGUUAUUCAUCUUUAAUAGGUUUAAAGGGUACUUAGACGGUAGAUAAAGCCAUAAUAGGGACUAGUCUGCUAGAGUUACUUAUAAGGGGGCUAUAAAGUACUAAUGGUGUAAAGAUAAAAUUUUGUAAUACCUGUUUUGGAAUACGGAAACAAUGGCACUGGUAAAGGCGAAGGCAUCCCCCUAUGUGAUAACUGACGUUAAAGGACGAAGGCUUUGGGUCGCGAGAAGGAUUAGAUACCCUAAUAGUCGAAGCAGAAAAUGAUGAGUGUCAUAGAUUAGAUAAUAAAAGUUUAUUCUAUAAAUGAAAGUGUAAGCACUCCACCUCAAGAGUAAUAUGGCAACAUAGAAACUGAAAUCAUUAGACCGUUUCUGAAACCAGUAGUGAAGUAUGUUGUUUAAUUUGAUAAUCCGCAAAAAACCUUACCACAACUUGAAUAACCAUGUUAAUAAUAUGGCUACAAGCAUUGCACGGCUGUCUUCAGUUAAUGUCGUG
rnacentral:rRNA from 1 species